rnacentral:rRNA from 1 species
CCUACGGGUGGCUGCAGUCGAGAAUCAUUCACAAUGGGGGAAACCCUGAUGGUGCGACGCCGCGUGGGGGAAUGAAGGUCUUCGGAUUGUAAACCCCUGUCAUGUGGGAGCAAAUUAAAAAGAUAGUACCACAAGAGGAAGAGACGGCUAACUCUGUGCCAGCAGCCGCGGUAAUACAGAGGUCUCAAGCGUUGUUCGGAAUCACUGGGCGUAAAGCGUGCGUAGGCUGUUUCGUAAGUCGUGUGUGAAGGGCGCGGGCUCAACCCGCGGACGGCACAUGAUACUGCGAGACUAGAGUAAGGGAGGGGGAACCGGAAUUCUCGGUGUAGCAGUGAAAUGCGUAGAUAUCGAGAGGAACACUCGUGGCGAAGGCGGGUUCCUGGACAUUAACUGACGCUGAGGCACGAAGGCCAGGGGAGCGAAAGGGAUUAGAUACCCGGGUAGUC